rnacentral:rRNA from 1 species
GAUGAACGCUGGCGGCGUGCCUAAUACAUGCAAGUCGAGCGAACAGACGAGGAGCUUGCUCCUCUGACGUUAGCGGCGGACGGGUGAGUAACACGUGGAUAACCUACCUAUAAGACUGGGAUAACUUCGGGAAACCGGAGCUAAUACCGGAUAAUAUAUUGAACCGCAUGGUUCAAUAGUGAAAGACGGUUUUGCUGUCACUUAUAGAUGGAUCCGCGCCGCAUUAGCUAGUUGGUAAGGUAACGGCUUACCAAGGCGACGAUGCGUAGCCGACCUGAGAGGGUGAUCGGCCACACUGGAACUGAGACACGGUCCAGACUCCUACGGGAGGCAGCAGUAGGGAAUCUUCCGCAAAGGGCGAAAGCCUGACGGAGCAACGCCGCGUGAGUGAUGAAGGUCUUCGGGUCGUAAAACUCUGUUAUUAGGGAAGAACAAAUGUGUAAGUAACUAUGCACGUCUUGACGGUACCUAAUCAGAAAGCCACGGCUAACUACGUG